rnacentral:tRNA from 1 species
UAGAAUAUAGUGUAUGCGGUAGCACUUGGAGUUUUGAUCUCUACAGAGCGGGUUCAAAUCCUGUAGUUCUAG